GUAAGGUCCUCCUAUUCAAUCAUUUAGGUAGGUCCUCCGAUUCAGUCAUCAUUCAGGUAGGUCCUCCUAGUCAGUCAUCAUUCAGGUAGGUCCUAUCCAGUCAUCAUUCAACCAGUCAUCAUUCAGGUAGGUCCUCCUAGUCAGUCAUCAUUCAGGUAUGUCCUCCUAGUCAGUCAUCAUUCAGGUAGGUCCUCCUAGUCAAUCAUUUAGGUAGGUCCUCCUAGUCAGUCAUCAUGUUGGUAGUUCCUCCUAGUAAGUCAUCAUUCAAGUAGGUCCUCAUAGUCAGUCAUCAUUCAUGUAGGACCCUAGCCAGUCAUCAUUCAGGUAGGUACUAACCAGUCAUCAUUCAGGUGGGCCAUAGUCAGCCAUCAUUCAGGUGGGUCCUCCUAGCCAGUCAUCAUUCAGGUAGGUCCUCUUAGUCAGUCAGCAUUCAGGUAGUUCCUAGUCAGUCAUCAUUCAGGUACGCCCUAGUCAGUCAUCAUUCAGGUAGGUCCUCCUAGUCAUUCAUCAUUCAGGUAGGUCCUCCUAGUCAUUCAUCAUUCAGGUAGGUCCUCCUAGUCAGUCUUCAUUCAAGUAGGCCAUAGUCAGUCAUCAUUCAGUUAGGCCAUAGUCAGUAAUCAUUUAGGUAGGCCAUAGUCAGUCAUCAGUCAGGUAAAUCCUCCUAGCCAGUCAUUGUUCAGGUAGGUCCUCCUAGCCAGUCAUCAUUCAGGUAGGUCCUCAUAGUCAGUCAUCAUUCAGGUAGGCCAUAGUCACUCGUCUUUCAGGUAGGUCAUAGUCAGUCACAGUGAGGAGAGGGCCUUGCUCUGUUUGUCUUUAGAAGGAUCUUAUCCUUCGUCUAGUUGUGUCUAGGGUUGCAAAAUUCCAAGAACUUUAAAUAAAUUCCCUGGUUUUCCCAAAAUCACAGUUGGAGGAUCCCAGAACCAGGAGGAAAUAAGCAGGAAAUCCGGAACCCUCCAACCAGGAUUUCUGGAAAACUAGGGAAUUUAUUGACAGUUCCCUGAAUUUUGUAACCCUAGUUGUGUCCCAAUAACUGUUCUUCAGAAGGAUGUCUCCACCAAAAUGUAUAAUAUUCCCUUGACCUUGUCCCUCCAUACACUCCCCGUCCUAUCCUAGGUCUCCCCCUGUCUAACUUAACUAGUAUUACAGAGUGUAGAAUACCACAUCAUUCAUUCCCCAAUUGAUAAGACUUUUGUAUUCUGUUUUUUGUCUUAUAUCUAGAAUA
rnacentral:lncRNA from 1 species